rnacentral:rRNA from 1 species
CCUACGGGGGGCAGCAGUGGGGAAUAUUGGACAAUGGGGGGAACCCUGAUCCAGCCAUGCCGCGUGUGUGAAGAAGGCCCUCGGGUUGUAAAGCACUUUCAGUGAGGAAGAACGCCUGGUGGUUAAUACCCAUCAGGAAAGACAUCACUCACAGAAGAAGCACCGGCUAACUCCGUGCCAGCAGCCGCGGUAAUACGGAGGGUGCGAGCGUUAAUCGGAAUUACUGGGCGUAAAGCGCGCGUAGGUGGCUUGAUAAGCCGGUUGUGAAAGCCCCGGGCUCAACCUGGGAACGGCAUCCGGAACUGUCAAGCUAGAGUGCAGGAGAGGAAGGUAGAAUUCCCGGUGUAGCGGUGAAAUGCGUAGAGAUCGGGAGGAAUACCAGUGGCGAAGGCGGUCUUCUGGACUGACACUGACACUGAGGUGCGAAAGCGUGGGUAGCAAACAGGAUUAGAUACCCGUGUAGUC